AACAGUUCACACUGACCCAGAAAAUCUUGAACAUCACGACCUUUCACCUCUCUGAUUGCACAGACUCCUGGGUCCAUUUCCACUCUGGCCCCAAUGUGCCAAACACAAGAUUCAAAAUUUAUUAUGAAAUGGUGCCCCAUCUGUGCCUGAACCUGAGUUGUGACGUCAAUGCAGUUUGUCACAGAGACAGCGCCGGGUCCCUGGUAUGUAGCUGCAAACCAGGCUGGAGGAGAUCAGGUCCCAGGUGUUACGAGCUCAGGAACAUGGUACAAGCUGUAACAGCCAGUGUCACAGGACCCAAUGUCACAUUGAGA